rnacentral:rRNA from 1 species
UACGUAGGGUGCAAGCGUUGUUCGGAAUUACUGGGCGUAAAGGGCGCGUAGGCGGGCCCGUAUGUCGAUUGUGAAAGCCCAGGGCUCAACCUUGGAAUUGCAGUCGAAACUGCGGGUCUGAAUGCCUGAGGGGAUGGCGGAAUUCCCGGUGUAGAAGUGAAAUUCGUAGAUAUCGGGAAGAACACCUGAGGCGAAGGCGGCUGUCUGGCGGUGCAUUGACGCUGAGGCGCGAAGCGUGGGAGCAACAGG